rnacentral:rRNA from 1 species
UACGGGGGGGGGCAAGCGUUGUUCGGAAUUACUGGGCGUAAAGGGCUCGUAGGUGGCCAACUAAGUCAGACGUGAAAUCCCUCAGCUUAACUGGGGGAACUGCGUCUGAUACUGGAUGGCUUGAGUUUGGGAGAGGGAUGCGGAAUUCCAGGUGUAGCGGUGAAAUGACGUAGAUAUCUGGAGGAACACCGGUGGCGAAGGCGGCAUCCUGGACCAACACUGACACUGAGGAGCGAAAGCCAGGGGAGCAAACGGG